UACGGAGGGUGCGAGCGUUAAUCGGAAUUACUGGGCGUAAAGCGCGCGUAGGUGGUUUGAUAAGCUGGUUGUGAAAGCCCCGGGCUCAACCUGGGAACGGCAUUCGGAACUGUCAAGCUAGAGUACAGGAGAGGAAGGUAGAAUUCCCGGUGUAGCGGUGAAAUGCGUAGAGAUCGGGAGGAAUACCAGUGGCGAAGGCGGCUCUCUGGACAGAUACCGACACUGAGGUGCGAAAGCGUGGGUAGCAAACAGG
rnacentral:misc_RNA from 1 species